rnacentral:tRNA from 1 species
GCAGGUAUGGCCAAGCGGCUAAGGCAAGAGGCUGCAACCCUCUGAUCCCAGGUUCGAGUCCUGGUACCUGCU